AAGUCGUAACAAGGUUUCCGUAGGUGAACCUGCGGAAGGAUCAUUGAGGGAGAGAGGGGAGAGAUGUUGGAAUGAAAUAUAGAUAUCACGUGACAAAUUAUUCUUAAUCAAAAUGACUAGCCACCUGGGAUCUCUGGGCUCUU
rnacentral:misc_RNA from 1 species